GUGUGCUAUGCCUCAGGGGGACGCAUAAGGAAUCAUUGCACAGGCUCCUCUUCAGUAUGGUCAGCCUGAAUGGUGAAGGGCAAUCACAGCAUCCCUGCAGUAUUUCAGGAAGAGUGAUGUACUUGGUGGGCCAAGCAGGAAAAGGAGUAGAUGAUUGGUCCUCAGCUUAUUUGGGCUCUGCUGUGGGGGACAGGACCCAAUUUCUGGAGGGUAAGAUUGAGUGAGAAGGAGCUACUGUUGCUUCUGAAGGAAUUGGGUGUAUGUAUGCUCAUUUUUGAGGCCAGAAGAACAUGUACCAGAACGUACACACUCCUGAGUAUUGCAGCCGGUGGUGGUUUCCCUUUUUCCGUCCCUGGGACACUACAUUUUCGUGUUGCCCUUAGCUCAGUCUCUUUGGAACAUAGAGUGAAAUAAGUGAGGAUAUCUUCCCUCCCCAAACUGUGUUGAUUAGAAAACUAUUUUGCAGAUGUGAAAAGGGAGAGCUACUGGAAGUGGAAAGGAGAGCUUGAUUUUGUUCAAGACACUGCAUUCUGACUGGAGCCUUUAGCAGUGAGUGGGGUCAUCCUAGGAUGCUUUCUGGAAUAGGGAGUUAAGAUCUGUUUGUCUGCUUCCCUUGCAACUGUCUGUUCGUGGGCAUGAAUUUUUCUCUCCUUUUCCUCUUUUCAUCUGGCCCCCUCUGUGAUUCUAGUGGCUCCUUCCCUGAAGAGGUGGAUUGUCAGUACUGGUGGCCUCUUGAACUUUACCAAAAUUUGGGAGAUGGCUACAUGUAAGAAGAGGCUUUCCUUGCACCUUCCUAGAACAGACCUUUUUAAUCUCCCACUAUGGUGUUUCUAGCACAACAGCCGCAUCAAAGUGACCGCAACAGUGAAAACCCCCACCGACUGACAUUUCUUUGGUGCGAGAACUAAACAUGGAGCCUUAUGUGCAUAAGCCUGAUGCUGCAACAUAUGA